GCCCAGCUAGCUCAGUCGGUAAAACAUGAAACUCCUAAUCUCAGGGUCGUGGGUUCAGGCCCCACGUUGGGCA
rfam:Mesocricetus auratus contig068739, whole genome shotgun sequence.